CCCCGUGCGGUCAGUGGCGUUUCCGCUCGGGCAGCGGGCUGAGUGAGCUGCCGCCGCUGCUGCCGCCGCCGCCGCCGGGGGAGGGGCGGCCGCCGCCCGCCUGCGCUCAGAGACUCACGCAGCCCCAGUCCCGCCAGUCCGCCAACACAGUAGUGCCGGCCCCCUCCUUCCUUGGCCCUUCCCCCUCCCUGCCUUUGGCUCGCUCCGCCUUUCUGUCCCCCACCCCCACCUCACGGGUACGGGCCAUUCCCGGCCAGGAAACGCCGUGGCGCCGCGUUGGGCCUAACUCGAGUCUUGCUGCCUCCCGGGAGUGCCGUGCGCCGCAGCCCGGGCCCAGGCCCCGGCAGCGCCUGGGACAAGGAUCAUCAGCCUGCAUCGAAAAAUUCUGUUUCCUACCACCAAGCUUUGUGCAUGUCACAGCACAUAUAAUUUGUACUUUUCAUAGCUUCUGUGAAGGAAGUUGAUCUGCAGUUAAUAAUCAACCAUUUGGCCUUCGUAGUAUCCAAUGAGGGUUUUACUUACAAAGAAGAACCUGGAAGGACCUGUUGGCAAUUAGAGUGCCUCUGUAUUGGUAUUACGUUUUCUUUUAUUGUGGGUUGUUGAGAGUUGACUUGUUCUAUGAGAAACUAGCUAGAAAGGGAAAAUCCACAGGGGGGAAAAAAGGCCACUUAAAAAAUAUAUGUUUAUUAUAACAUUUGUGAUAGAAUCAAAAUGUCACUUUUUAUUUAAAUUUUUUUGUGGUUCUGGGAAUUGAACCCAGGGCCUUGCUCAUGCUAUGCAUGCCAUCCACCACUGAGCUGUACCAUUUUACAAAUUUUAUUUACUACAAUUUUAUUUGUUUUAUUUUAUUUACUACAAAUUUUAUUUGUAGUAAAUAGAAAUCGAAUGCAUAGCUUAAUAAUAGAACAAAAUAAGGGCAGGUUGAGGAUGUGAAGGCACAUUUUUAAGAUGAGACUAAAAGUUGUAGGGUCUACAUGCCAAAUUAUUAGGUAUUUUUAUAUUUCUGCUACUUUCAUGGAAAACCGUUAAAAAUAGCUGGGUACCAGUGGCUUAUGCCUAUAAUCCUCCAUACUUGAGAGCCUGAAGUGGGGAAGAUCACCCUUCUAGGCCAGCCUGGGCAAAAGACCUUCAUCUCAAUAGAAAACAAAACAAAACUGGGUGAGGUGGCGUGCUCACUCAGGGACAUCUCAGUGACAGUAGGAAGCUUAAAGUAGGAGGAUCAUGGUCCUGGCCAACCUGGGCCAAAAGGGAGACCCUUUCUUCAAAAUUGCCAGAGCAAAAAGGGCUAGAGGCAUGACUCAGGCAGUAGAGCCCCUUCCUAGCAAAUGGGAAGCCCUGAGUUCAAACCCCAUACCUCCAAAAACAAAAACCCUUUAAAAACAAAGUGGCUCAAAAUAUACCCAGGUUAAAUGGAUAGGGUGGCACAGUAUAUAUGUUAUAUUAAUAAUAGCUGAUAUUUACUAAAUUUCAAAAAAAAUGAAAAUUACUGCUGAGAAGGAAUCUGGCUAGGCCACGCUGGGGUCCCCUGGGAAGGACAUGUAAUUUUAGAAAAGCAAGGCACUGGGUAGGUUAGCCUUCCUCGUAUAGUUUAUCAUGAACAGUUAGUAUGGAAAGGAAUGGCUGAAGGUUUGCAUAGUAUACACGGCAAGAAGAAGAGAAGAUAUAUUGCACUUAAAAAAGUGCAUGCCAGCCAAGAAAUGGAAAGUAAUUUCUUUGUAGUACACGUUAGUUUUUCUUAACUCUGUAAUACUAGUGAGUGUUUGUAUGGAAGAUAGUUGCCUGAAGGAUUGAGCUGAAUAUCUUUUAUGAAGUUUUUAAAAAAUGAAUCUUAUAUUGGACAGUCCUGGUAUAUGCCUACUAUGCUAGCAUAGUGAUAGCAACCCUUUCUUUCUCAAAAAGUGUCUCAUAUUGAACCAUAAGUUAUACAGGGAACUUUUAUUCCCUAUCUAUAAACCCGGUUUUUCUUCAUAGAUUUCUGAUUUAGGAGUCGCCUGUGUGUAUCUUGGCCUCUGUUUUAAUCUCCUAUUUCCAAAAGGGCAGGUUUUAGAGUGCCUUUUCCUUUUGGUUAAUAGUAUGAGAAAGGGUAAAUACAGAUUUGAUUGAUUUUGAUUUUUUUAUUAUGAAAAGGCCCAAAUAAAACAAUAGAAAAUGGACUCCCUUAGGAUAGU
ensembl:lncRNA